UGAAAAUAUAAAUAGUUGUCGAAUAAAAUUCAUUAUUUUGGAUACCGAAAUGUAAACAAAGCCCUUGUUUACAUACGGACUGUACCGCACUUUAAAUAAUAUAUCGAAUUUUCGUAUUGUUUAAUUUAGUCACGAAUAAAGUGUGUCCAGCCUUCUGUUCGAAUAUUUUAUUUUAUGAUCCAGUGUGUGGAUCAAACGGCAAGACUUACCCCAAUCUAUGCAGCUUGCGGUUUGCUGAUUGUGAAUUUGAAAACGACAAAGAAAUAACAUUAAAACAUAACGGAUCAUGCAAGAGUAAAG